GUGAGGAAUAUUGCGCAAUGGGCGAAAGCCUGACGCAGCGACGCCGCGUGGAGGAUGAAGGUCUUCGGAUUGUAAACUUCUGUUAAGUGGGAAGAAAGGGCUGUUUUUAAUAGAAGCAGUUAAUGACGGUACCAUUAAAGAAAGCACCGGCUAAACUCGUGCCAGCAGCCGCGGUAAUACGAGUGGUGCAAGCGUUAUUCGGAAUAAUUGGGCGUACAGGGUGUGUAGGCGGUAUGUUAAGUCUGUUGUUAAAGACUCCGGCCUAACCGGAGACAGGCAGCGGAAACUGGCGUACUAGAGGGUGGAAGAGAGAAGUGGAAUUCUCGGUGUAGCGGUAAAAUGCGUAGAUAUCGAGAGGAACACCGAUGGCGAAGGCAGCUUCUUGGUCCAUACCUGACGCUGAAACACGAAAGCGUGGGGAGCAAACAGGAUUAGAAACCCGAGUAGC
rnacentral:rRNA from 1 species